UACAGAGGGUGCGAGCGUUAAUCGGAAUUACUGGGCGUAAAGCGCACGUAGUCGGCUUUGCAAGUCGGGUGUGAAAGCCCCGGGCUCAACCUGGGAAUUGCAUUCGAGACUGAAUAGCUAGGGUACGGUAGAGGGAAGUGGAAUUUCCGGUGUAGCAGUGAAAUGCGUAGAGAUCGGGAGGAACACCAGUGGCGAAGGCGGCCUUCUGGACCAAUACUGACGCUCAUGCACGAAAGCGUGGGGAGCAAACAGG
rnacentral:rRNA from 1 species